GACGAACGCUGGCGGCGUGCCUAAUACAUGCAAGUAGAACGCUGAAGAGAGGAGCUUGCUCUUCUUGGAUGAGUUGCGAACGGGUGAGUAACGCGUAGGUAACCUGCCUUGUAGCGGGGGAUAACUAUUGGAAACGAUAGCUAAUACCGCAUAACAAUGGAUGACCCAUGUCAUUUAUUUGAAAGGGGCAAAUGCUCCACUACAAGAUGGACCUGCGUUGUAUUAGCUAGUAGGUGAGGUAACGGCUCACCUAGGCGACGAUACAUAGCCGACCUGAGAGGGUGAUCGGCCACACUGGGACUGAGACACGGCCCAGACUCCUACGGGAGGCAGCAGUAGGGAAUCUUCGGCAAUGGGGGCAACCCUGACCGAGCAACGCCGCGGGAGUGAAGAAGGUUUUCGGAUCGUAAAGCUCGGUUGUAAGUCAAGAACGAGUGUGAGAGUGGAAAGUUCACACUGUGACGGUAGCUUACCAGAAAGGGACGGCUAACUACGUG
rnacentral:rRNA from 1 species